CACGUAGGGGACGAGCGUUGUCCGGAUGCAUUGGGCGUAAAGCGCGCGUAGGCGGCUCGGCAAGUCGGUCGUGAAAUGCCGGGGCUCAACCCCGGGACUGCGUCCGAUACUCCCGAGCUGGAGGCAGGUAGGGGAGAUCGGAAUUCCUGGUGUAGCGGUGAAAUGCGUAGAUAUCAGGAGGAACACCGGCGGUGUAGACGGCUCUCUGGACCGUAACUGACGCUGAGACACGAAAGCGUGGGGAGCAAACAGG
rnacentral:rRNA from 1 species